rnacentral:rRNA from 2 species
CGUGGGAUCUACCAUUUGCUACGGAACAACAGUUGGAAACGACUGCUAAUACCGUAUGUGCCCUAACGGGGAAAGAUUUAUCGGCAAAUGAUGAGCCCGCGUUGGAUUAGCUAGUUGGUGGGGUAAAGGCCUACCAAGGCGACGAUCCAUAGCUGGUCUGAGAGGAUGAUCAGCCACACUGGGACUGAGACACGGCCCAGACUCCUACGGGAGGCAGCAGUGGGGAAUAUUGGACAAUGGGCGCAAGCCUGAUCCAGCCAUGCCGCGUGAGUGAUGAAGGCCCUAGGGUUGUAAAGCUCUUUCACCGGUGAAGAUAAUGACGGUAACCGGAGAAGAAGCCCCGGCUAACUUCGUGCCAGCAGCCGCGGUAAUAC